rnacentral:lncRNA from 1 species
AAAAAAACUCUAGACACUCACUCUCUCAUCGGACCUCACACACACACACCCAAUAGAGGGAAAAAAAAUAGCGCUAAAAAAUAGAGGAAAAAAUUAGAGAAAAAUGGGGAAGACUGGAACGGAAAAAGGACUUCUUCUUCUUCACUAUAGCGGCAGCUCACGAACCCUUCUUCCCUAUGUGAAAACCAGCUCCUUUACCCCCAAAAUCGACCAUCAUAAACAUCCAUCAACAACCACCAAAACCAUCAGAAAAUGGACCAAAACAGUCCACAAAACGACUUGAAAUAGCAGUUGAAAAUCUACUCAACUCCAUCUUCAAAAGACCUCAAACUUUCACAAAACUCAUGAGUCAGUGAGAUCUCCGUUUAAAAUUUAUUCGAGGUCUCUGCGGUCCAAAGUCCCGUUUAAAAACAUGAGCCAUUUCCCAACGCUGCUACUUUAUGCUUUCCGAUGUUGUGUCCAAAGGUGCUUGCUAAUAAAACUUUCUUGAAGAAGUUUGGCUUCUGAAAAAGGUCCAGUACUAAACUCUUUGUUCAUCGUUCAAUCUCUGAAUUUUAUUUUUGUAGCAUUUGAUUGUAAUAUCUGUUAGGCUUAGUGUUUGCUCUUUACUCUUAAACGAGAGUGUCUUUGUUUGGUUAAAACAAUGAUUAGCUCGUUAUUGGUGAUCUUGUGCAAUUUUGGUGCUUUGUGCAGUUCUUAGCUAUGUGUUCACUGGCUCGACUAUAUUGAUGUUGUACAGAUUUGUGAAGUAUUAUGAUUUUUUACUGUUGAACCCCAUUAAUUAAAUAGGAUGGAACAAGUUUUGAGAUUACAAGCAGAAUGGUUUGAGUUAAUAAGGAGUGCACGCACUACAUUUGGGGAAACAAUUUAAUAAUAUUAAUUUCUUAAGUUGCAAAAAUGUUUUGACUUCUUUGUUGAACCAGAAGCAAAACAAUUUAGUUUUGUAUAGAGUUUAUUUUGUUUUUAUCUAUUCUUUGCAUGUGUCUUUGGAACUGUUAUUUUAAUCACUGGUUGUCCCAUUUGCUUCAUUCUGUGCGAUUAAUUCAUGAAAUAAUUUGAUGCUUGUUAACAAUUGGGUUGCGUAGUGGUUGGAAUUAAUCGGACCAAUUGAUUUUACAAAGAAAUUGUAUUUGAGUUGUAGUUUCUUUUAAAUAUUUAUUAGCCCAUUAACCUAAUAACAAGAACAUACUAUUUUUCCACAAUAGUUUCCUAUCCAUAAUUCAUGGCCUUCAUAUACAAUAAUCUCAAGUACAAUAAUCUCAAAUUUAGGAAGAAUAAUGAACAUAACUUAGGUGCUUUAGGCGUGCUUUUAAUGAAUCUAUCGCGAUUAUAUAGACGUUCGCGUGAAAUAAUAGUGAUUUUUAAACCUAAAACUGAAAUAUGUGUUCGCGCAACUUUGGCCAAAACAAUCUUAAUAUAAUAAAAAUACUAUUAAUUGUGUACACGUACGCGUGACAUGAUUUUGACAUAACAAACAAAAUUGAUUCACACACAUGAUUCGUUUCAAAGAUAAUUCCAUAUUUUAAAAGCGGAUAGAUAAAAUAUGGAAAUCAGUAAAUCAUAGUUUCUCCAAAAUUAAUUCAAGCCAAGUUGUAAUCAAUAAAGCGACCGUGCUAGAACCACGAGACUCAGGGAAUGCCUUACACCUUCUCCCCGGUCAACAUAAUUCCUUACCCGAACUUUAUUUUCGCAGACCAAUAAUAAUAGAGUCAAACUUUCCUUUUACUAGGGAUUCAAAUAAAAGGUGACUUGGAGCACCCAAAAAAUCAAUUCCGAGUGGCGAUUCUAUAAAUAAAAUAAUUCCUAUUUUAAAAUUGUCACUUUAAUUGGAAAAACUCUUUAACCCACAAUUCAUAACACAUAUCUAUUUGUGGGGUAAAAAGGGGUGUGACAGCUUUGGCGACUUUGUUGGGGAAUCUCAAGAAUUCGAGCUUGUACAUUGACUUUAUUUGGCUUUAUUAAUUUUUAUAUAUACUGUGAUUUAUUUGUGCCUAAUGUGCUACUUGUUCGCUUUUCAUCGCUUUGAUAUUGUUGAAUUGUACAUAUAAACUGUCUUCUCACGCACCCCCUCUGAGUCUUCUUGAAAAUAAAAAUUGGGUAUUUAUUUGACAUAGCCCGCUUUAUUUUAGAUAGUCGAGGUGCUUGUCACCCGGUGAAGGAUUUUUAGUCACACAUGUUUUAGGCGAAAAGCACCACCAACUAAGCCGGAAAGCAAUGCUACCGGUACGCUGACCUAUCUCGGCUCGAGUUGUCCGCUCGAGUAAGCCAGUCUAGAUACCUUCUCCAAUAGGAUUUAAACCUAGAAGAACAAACCUCAUACCGGAUAUCCCUAGUAGGUUCGCUUUAUUUGCAUCACAUGCAUUUGACUUAGCGAAACUCGUCACAGGGGUCGGGUCCGUAUAAGACAUGUAUCCUCUUUGAGACCAUCAUGUUCACUUAUGUGCUACUUGUUACAACAUUUGGAAGGCUUUCUUGCAUUAUUGACCGGCUUUAGAAAAUUAGUUGAGCGGAAUUAUUAAAAAAAGAAAAAAUCUUUCUCUUAGUUUAGCACAGAUAAUCCUUUUUUACUAAGAUUUUAUAGUAGUCUAGCGUGAGGUGUAGAGAUUAAUUUUCAUAAAAAAUCAAAAGAGAAAAAUACUCGAUUUCACCGAACUACGCGGGUCUGAUUCUCACCGGAUAUGAGAUACGUAGGCAAACCUCAUCGGUUCCGGCCCCCAAUUUUAAAAAAUCCAAAAAUAUAUUUUCCUUUAAUUCCUUCUUUAGAAGUUUUUUUUUAGACCAAAAAUUCAAAAAUAUUUUCUUCAUUUUUUUCAAAAAAAAAAAAACUUUCUCCCAAAUUAAAAAACAAAAUCAAAAUUCAAAAAAUAUUUUCUUUCUUUUGAAAUUUACAAAAAAGAAAAAAUUAAAAUUCAAAAAUAUUUUCUUUCUUCUUUAGAAGUCUUUCUUUAACCAAUUCCAAAACAAAAAAAUUAAAAAUAUUUUCUUUGCUAGGAGAUUUUGUCAGAUUAAUUGUAUAUAAAAAAAAAAGUUAGUUUAUCUAUUUUAUUUCUGAUUCACCGAACUACGCGAGUCUGAUUCUCACUGGGUGUGAGAUACGUAGGCAAACCUCAUCGGCUCCGGCCCCCAAUUUUCAAAAAUCCAAAAAAAUAUUUUUCUUUAAUUCUUUCUUUAGAAGUCUUUCCUUAGAAAAUCCCAAAUAUUUUUUUUUUAAAAAAAACCAAAAAUAUUUUUUUUCUUUUUAGAAGUCUUUCAUUUGAAAUAAAUAAAUAAAUCAAAAUCCAAAAAUAUAUUUUUUUUCUUCUUUAGAAGUCUUUCUCCCAAAAAUAUCCAAAAAAACAAAUCAUUCAAAAUCCCAAAAAAUAUUUUAUUUCUCCUUUAAGAAGUCUUCUUUUCAAGCAUUCCUAAAGAAAAAAAAAAGCUAGCUUAUGUACUUUGUUCCCGGUAUUCCCGAACUACGCAAGAUCUGAUUCAUGCGGCAUCAUGAUACGUAGGCAAACCCCAUCGGAUUCGAUCAUUGCCAUCGAAUAAACUGAGUGGGGAAAAAAAAAAGAAGAAAGAAAAAGAAAAGAGUGACAAAAAUAACAGAGAAAAAUAUAGAGCGAAAAGGAACAAAAAGAGAAAAAAGAAUCAAAAAAAUAAAAAGAAAAAGAAAAAAAAACCUGAGAUGGAAUCAGUUCACCCAUGUUGGUGAAUCAUACUCGAGCUUGUUCUAAAGUUAGUCAGGCUAGGUCUAUUGCAGCCAAUAACCCCAAACCGGCCAACCCUGAGUUUCACUCGCACCGGGGUAAUGCUAGAUGUGAAUACCACUCUAGAGCAGUGUGACAUGAUACGAAAGACUGUUGGACUCUUUAGAGAGCAGUGGAAGACCUCAUCAAGGUCAAGGCAAUAAUGCUUAGGGAUGAAGAGGCCAUUAAUAUGAUGAAUAAUCCUCUGUCUGUUCACACAAAUAGGCCAGUAGUCGGAAUGAUCCGUGAAGAUGAGGAAUUUGAUCCGGCACUGAAGGCCAUAACAGCCAUUACUGAGACAGAAGAAAAGCCAAAAAACGGUCGCCAAACCUGAAAGUGUCCCAUCAUACGGGAGACUCGGUAGCCAGCCUUGCUAUCCUUUCUGCGUCCAUAUUAUUUCAAGGUGUAAUCCGGAUAUUUUACUUUAUUGUCUUACCUUCCGAUGAAAACCCUUCUAUCUUUAAAAUUCAAAAAAAAAAUACAAAUUCAAAAAAAUAUCAAUUAAAUAAAAUUAAUAUUUUAUUGUCUAGGAAUGUCUCUUUUCUUAAUUUUGUCACAUUUCUUAUUCUCUUUUCAGUUCUGUUAAUGCAGAUUUUAAUAACAUGACAUGCUUGCGGACUUCAUGCCCAGAUCCUAAAACACCGUCAGACCUCAAAAUAAUGAAUCAAGAAGCAGAAUGUGUUGAAGAUAAGGCUUGUGAGAAAAUAAGCAAAGAAUUGGAACACUAGGCCUAAGCCAAGAUCCAAAUAAAAUCGGAAGAAGUUGAAAUUUCCUCUCUUUGGAUCAUUGUUAAAGCCGAGAUUGAGGAUAAAUAUUGGGUCAAGAACCGGUUUGGAAUAAUUGACUAUGAUUGAUGAAAAACGUAUAGCUGCAGUUUGCCACGGGCAGUUGUACCAACAAAGAAUGGCCCGUGCCUACAAUAAGAAAGUACGGCCCAGAAAGUUCGAAGUGGGGCAACUCGUCCUAAGACGUAUCCUCUCGCAUCAUAAAGAAGCCAAAGGAAAAUUGGCUCCAGAUUGGAAAGGUCCAUACAUUAUAAUAAGAUUACUGCCAAAAAGAAGCGUUGUAUUUGGGAGAUAUCGAAGAAAAUAUCUCCGAGACAACUGUCUAUAUAGACACGGUCAAAAGGUAUUAUGUUUGACCCUUUUACGCAUCUUUAAUGUUCUAUGCUUGGGAUGACAAAGACUUUCAUUCUCGUUACCCAAACACUAUCAAUCAUUUGCAAACCCUUUUGAGUCGGUUACUUUUCUUUGAUUACCCUCUUUGGAUCCUGGAAGUUUUAUGAAAAAAAAAAGAGAAAAGAAAAUGAAAAAAAAAAGAGAAGAAACAAAUGAAUAAAAAAACAACAAAAGAAAAUCAAAAUAAAGUGACUUGAACUACGUUCGACUUGAUUCUGAAAGGAUACGUAGGCAGCCUCUCUCUAGGGUUCAGUCACACCAAAAUAAAAAUCCACAUUCCCCCCCAAAAAAAAGAAAAAAAAAUUGAAACUGGGGCAGAUGUUACAAUUUUGUCGGCGAUGAUUUCGCGUGAAAGGUUUCAAAGUUGUAAUUCAAUCCAAAUCCUUUUUACCCAAAUCCUUUUCAAGUCCUUCCGAUCAAUCAACGAUAAUGUUCAAAAUGGGAGGAUACAGUUACUUGGAUCAGAUGCAAUCAAAUGAGAGAAAUAAAAUGAGAGAGUCUUAUUGGUGAAAACCCUCACGGGCACCGUAAGGCGACGGUAAGCAGAGAAAUUAAAAUGAGAGAGUCUUGUUAGUGAAAACUCGCAAAGAGCACUGUAAGGCGAUGAUGAGAAUAGAAAUGAGAGAGGUCAGUUGGUAAAAAUCUGCGAAGGACGCCACUGAUUGAAAGUGAGGAUUCCCACAGUUACUGGCAACGACACAGUCCUGAGCUAGGUUUCUUAAUUUCGAGACAAAGGUUUGAUGAAUUUUCGAGAGUCGGAUGGUUUACACAGAUCAGGCAUUCAGUCCAAAAGGCAUGUCACGUUCAUUGAAGUCUGCAUGUACUCCAGAUAAGUCCUUCUUUCCUUUCCCCGAAAGGGAUACCUCUUGUCUAAAUUAAUUUGUUCAUUCCAUUAUUUGUUUUUCUUUGAAUCCCUUUUGGUCUAACUCUGUUCUGAAACUAAGACAAAGAAGGGAUGAUAAGACUAAUUUACAAGGCUCUCGUUUAAUACAAGCUAAUAUGCAAAAAAUGGGCACCCAGACUCGGCAGGGGGAUCAAGUCGACCUCGACUGGCCAUGGCGGCCGAUGCUUCGAAAUCAAAAACUCUUGUAAAGAGAAAAUCAAAUUGAAAGUGCCUACAAGGGCAAAAAUGAAGUUAAAAUGGUUAAGUUCCAAGUGGCUAACCGUCAUGUAAAAGUUUGAAAAGUCAAAGGCAGAAAUGCAAGUGGUAUUCAGGAAACAUCUAGUGACAGGUUGAAAUCGUCAUCAAAAGAAGAUGGGCACAAAGCCACGUUGCCAAAGACAUCAAGGCCAUGAACCGACCACCACUUUUAAAACUCACAAUUUUUCUUUGUUUGUAGUAAGAACAAAGCAGUGCAGAAUGACGAUUCCUAAAUAACGAAUGUCACCAAAGGUGAGUUUCGCAAAAUCUCUAUUUUCUUUUAUUUUCAGCAUGCAUCACUAUUAUAGAUUAUUUUCGUAACUUAACCUAGGUAGAACCUUUUUGCCUAGGGGGGCCAGCUCAUAGUUUUCAGGUAGAAGUACUCUUCGCUUAGGAUGUUUUUCGUAGCUUAACCUAGGUAGAACCAUUUUCGCCUAGGGGGAUCCAGAUCAUAGUUCCGGGUAGAAGCACUCUUCGCUCAGGUUGUUUUACGUAGCUUAACCCAGGUAGAACCUUUUCGCCUAGGGGGAUUAGUUCCGGGUAGAAGUACUCUUCGCUCAAGGUGUUUUACGUAGCUNNNNNNNNNNUUUCCUCUUCAGUAAUACAGGGCGCCAACCCCUGGUUACAUUUCCUUUUUAGUAAUACAAGGCGCCAACCCUGGUUACAUUUCCUUUUCAAUAAUACAGGGCACCAACCUCUGUUUUCAUUUCCUUUUCAGUAAUACAGGGCGCCAACCCCUGGUUACAUUUCCUUUUAGUAAUACAGGGCACCAACCCCUCGUUACAUUUCCUUUUAGUAAUACAGGGCAGCAACCUCUAGUUACAUUUUCUUACCAGUAUAGGGUACACCAAUCCCUGAUCUCCUUACCAGUAUAGGGUACACCAAUCCCUAGCUGUGUUCUCCAACAUAGGGUACUCCACUCCCUAGUUGAUUUGAUCUUAAAUACAGGAUACACUACUCCCUAAUACCAUUGCUAAUAUAGGGUAUCUUAUUCGCUAGCCACAUUUUCCCAACAUAAGGUACAACAAUCUUUAGUUGAGAUAUUCUUUUAGGACAAUAAAGGAAUACUAUCCAAAAAAAAUCAUCAUGACAUUUUCAGGGUACACCAUUCCCGAUCUUUUAUUGAUUUUGUGGUGUCUGUGCAGGUUUACCUCGAGGCAUAUGGUUCGUGAUGAACAAAAAAAGAAGUCUCAAUCCAAAAUAAAUGCACAAAAAGAGGGAGAAGUGAAUCCAGAAUGC